rnacentral:rRNA from 1 species
UACGUAGGGGGCAAGCGUUGUCCGGAUUUAUUGGGCGUAAAGAGCUCGUAGGUGGUUCGGUAAGUCGGAUGUGAAAUCUCCAGGCUCAACCUGGAGGGGUCAUUCGAUACUGCCGUGACUAGAGGUCGGUAGGGGAGUGUGGAAUUCCUGGUGGAGCGGUGAAAUGCGCAGAUAUCAGGAGGAACACCCGUAGCGAAGGCGGGUCUCUGGACAGUUCCUGACGCUGAGGCACGAAGGCCAGGGGAGCAAACGGG